rnacentral:rRNA from 1 species
AACGAACGCUGGCGGCAUGCCUAACACAUGCAAGUCGAACGAGACCUUCGGGUCUAGUGGCGCACGGGUGCGUAACGCGGGGGAACCUGCCUUUAGGUUCGGAAUAACUCAGAUACAUGUGAGCUAAUACCGGAAGAUGUCUUCGGACCAAAGAUUUAUCGCCUUUAGAUGGGCCCGCGUUGGAUUAGCUAGUUGGUGGUGUAAAGGCCUACCAAGGCUACGAUCCAUAGCUGGUCUGAGAGGAUGAUCAGCCACACUGGGACUGAGACACGGCCCAGACUCCUGCGGGAGGCAGCAGUGGGGAAUAUUGGACAAUGGGCGAAAGCAUGAUCCAGCAAUGCCGCGUGAGUGAUGAAGGCCUUAGGGUUGUAAAGCUCGUUUACCCGAGAUGAUAAUGACAGUAUCGGGAGAAUAAGCUCCGGCUAACUCCGUG